rnacentral:rRNA from 1 species
AGAGUUUGAUUCUGGCUCAGGAUGAACGCUAGCGAUAGGCCUAACACAUGCAAGUCGAGGGGCAGCACAUGAAGUAGCAAUACGGAUGGUGGCGACCGGCGCACGGGUGAGUAACGCGUAUGCAACCUGCCUACAACAGGGGAAUAACCCGUUGAAAGACGGACUAAUACCCCAUAACGCAGGGAUCCCGCAUGGGAAUAUUUGUUAAAGAUUUAUCGGUUGUAGAUGGGCAUGCGUUCCAUUAGCUUGUUGGUGAGGUAACGGCUCACCAAGGCAACGAUGGAUAGGGGAACUGAGAGGUUUAUCCCCCACACUGGUACUGAGACACGGACCAGACUCCUACGGGAGGCAGCAGUGAGGAAUAUUGGUCAAUGGACGCAAGUCUGAACCAGCCACGUCGCGUGAAGGAAGACGGCCCUACGGGUUGUAACUUCUUUUGUAAGGGAAUAAAGUGUAGUACGUGUACUAUUUUGCAUGUACCUUACGAAUAAGGAUCGGCUAACUCCGUGCCAGCAGCCGCGGUAAUACGGAGGAUCCGAGCGUUAUCCGGAUUUAUUGGGUUUAAAGGGUGCGCAGGCGGGAGAUUAAGUCGGCGGUGAAAUUUUGCAGCUCAACUGUAAAAGUGCCUUCGAAACUGGUUUCCUUGAGUGUGGAUGAAGUAGGCGGAAUUUGUGGUGUAGCGGUGAAAUGCAUAGAUAUCACGAGGAACUCCGAUUGCGCAGGCAGCUUACUAAACCAUAACUGACGCUCAGGCACGAAGGCGUGGGGAUCAAACAGGAUUAGAUACCCUGGUAGUC